rnacentral:rRNA from 1 species
AUUGAACGCUAGCGGGAUGCUUUACACAUGCAAGUCGAACGAGUGGCGGACGGGUGAGUAAUAUAUCGGAACGUGCCCAGUAGCGGGGGAUAACUACUCGAAAGAGUGGCUAAUACCGCAUAAUAUCGGAGAGGCCGAUAUUGUAUUAGCUAGUUGGUGGGGUAACGGCUCACCAAGGCAACGAUGCGUAGCUGGUGUGAGAGGACGACCAGCCAAACUGGGACUGAGACACGGCCGAGACUCCUACGUGAGGCAGCAGUGGGGAAUCUUGGACAAUGGGGGAAAUCCUGAUCCAGCCAUCCCGCGUGUAUGAGAAGGCCUUCGGGUUGUAAAGUACUUUUGGCAGGGAAGCGGUAUCUGCAGAAUAAGCACCGGCUAACUACGUGCCAGCAGCCGCGGUAAUUC